CGUUAAAACACCGGUUCCCGUACGAUCCCCGUAGUUAAGCAACGUUGAUCCUGAUCAGUAACUAAAUGGGUAACCGCUUGCGAAUACAAGGUGUUGUAAG